ACCAUGUCUUCUGUGUGGAGAGGAAUUUCCAUUUUCCCACAUAAGGGAACACAAUAGGACCUGUGAACGCAGGAGCAGCAAGUGCCACUGAAAACCCACCCACAGAGGCCACCAUUGAUGUAGCAAGAGGAAUAGCACCUGGUCCUGGAAUCCCACCUACAGAGGUCACUACUGAUUCUUGGGUUACACAACUGGACCCAGAGAAAGCAGCCCAGCUUUUCACACAGGCAGCUCUAGAAAAGAAUCAACAUAUGGAGCCCCUCACAUUCACCCUGAGUCUCAUGGACUCUGAAGAAGAGAGACACAGAGCGAUCAUCUCAAUAUACAAGAGGCCCAGGGUGGAAUGGGCAAGGCCCCUAACUUGCAGAUUGAUUGGUGACUCUGCUAUUGGUGAAGGCGUAACGCGGCAUGUGUUGUCCACUGUGAUGGGAGCUGUCCAGAGUGGUUUCCUUCUGGAUGAAA